rnacentral:rRNA from 1 species
AGAGUUUGAUCCUGGCUCAGGAUGAUCUCUGGCGGCGUGCCUAACACAUGCAAGUCGAGCGAGAUGCCUGUGAAAGAUUCUUCGGAUGAUUGAUCAGGCGGAAAGCGGCGGACGGGUGAGUAACGCGUAGGCAACCUGCCCUUCACAGAGGGAUAGCCUCGGGAAACCGGGAUUAAAACCUCAUAAUGCCACACUGAGACAUCUCAGAGUGGCCAAAGAUUUAUCGGUGAAGGAUGGGCCUGCGUCUGAUUAGUUAGUUGGUGGGGUAACGGCCUACCAAGGCGACGAUCAGUAGCCGACCUGAGAGGGUGAUCGGCCACGUUGGAACUGAGACACGGUCCAAACUCCUACGGGAGGCAGCAGUGGGGAAUAUUGCACAAUGGGGGAAACCCUGAUGCAGCAACGCCGCGUGAAGGAAGAAGGCCUUCGGGUCGUAAACUUCUGUCCUUGGGGAAGAAACAAAUGACGGUACCCUUGGAGGAAGCCCCGGCUAACUACGUGCCAGCAGCCGCGGUAAUACGUAGGGGGCAAGCGUUAUCCGGAAUUAUUGGGCGUAAAGAGUACGUAGGCGGUUUCUUAAGCGCAGGGUUUAAGGCAAUGGCUCAACCAUUGUUCGCCCUGUGAACUGGGAGACUUGAGUAUCGGAGAGGAAAGCGGAAUUCCUAGUGUAACGGUGAAAUGCGUAGAUAUUAGGAGGAACACCCAGUGGCGAAAGGCGGCUUUCUGGACGAAUACUGACGGUGAGGUACGAAAGCGUGGGGAGCAAACAGGAUUAGAUACCCUGGUAGUCCACGCCGUAAACGAUGAGCACUAGGUGUCGGGGCCGCAAGGUUUCGGUGCCGCAGUUAACGCAUUAAGUGCUCCGCCUGGGAGUACGCACGCAAGUGUGAAACUCAAAGGAAUUGACGGGGACCCGCACAAGCAGCGGAGCAUGUGGUUUAAUUCGAAGCAACGCGAAGAACCUUACCAGGGCUUGACAUCCUUCUGACCGGUCCUUAACCGGACCUUUCUUCGGACAGAAGUGACAGGUGGUGCAUGGUUGUCGUCAGCUCGUGUCGUGAGAUGUUGGGUUAAGUCCCGCAACGAGCGCAACCCUUGUCGUUAGUUACUAACAUUCAGUUGAGGACUCUAAUGAGACUGCCGUGGAUAACACGGAGGAAGGUGGGGAUGACGUCAAAUCAUCAUGCCCCUUAUGUCCUGGGCUACACACGUGCUACAAUGGUCGGUACAAAGAGAAGCGAGACAGUGAUGUGGAGCAAAUCUCAAAAGCCGAUCCCAGUUCGGAUUGCAGGCUGCAACUCGCCUGCAUGAAGUCGGAGUUGCUAGUAAUCGUGGAUCAGAAUGCCACGGUGAAUGCGUUCCCGGGUCUUGCACACACCGCCCGUCA